GUUUCCUUAGACUGCCAGAAAGUUCAUCACAAGACCUCUCUCCCCUUCACUCUGGUGGGAGAUGCAACAAUGGCCUUGAGAACAGCAGGAAGUGUGUUGGUGGUCUUUCUCUGGUCUGUAGCAGCUGUACUGGGGCAGAAUGGCUGGAGUGUGACUAACACCACAGUAUUUGUACCUUGAAGGGGUCAUCAGUGGAACUGUCCUGCUCUUACACAUAUCCCAGUUGGUAUAAAGUCACAACAACCUUCUGGUUCACCAAAAUUGUUGCUGUGGAGAAUUAUGUGAGUCUGAGUGA